rnacentral:lncRNA from 1 species
GUAAAUUAUUUUUUUUCCAAUAUUUUGAAGAUGAAAGGCUAAGACACAGGUAUUUUCCAAAAAUGUCUCAGCAAACUCCAGUUUUUAUCACCUCUUGCUGGCUGAAAUUGGUAGCAUUCUGAAAUCCAGGCUUUUACUGCUGUUGACUCUUUAUAGCUGAGUAAUAAUGUCAUGGCAUAUUACGGAUAAUUGUGAUAAUUGGCAGCUUUUCAUGUGUGGGAGCUUAAAAUACAUGGAUACCUAAGUAUUUUAAAAAAUUAUCCACCUUAAUGAAUGCUAUUUGCCUGUUUCAAUUUCUUAGCUAAUUUGAAACAGAAAAAGUAACCGUCUAAUUUACCUGUCUAGAGCCUGCCAGCAUAUAAAUCAAUAGUCAUUUUCUGGAUAUGUUGAAGGAGAGGUGAGUUCAAGCAUGGAG